rnacentral:rRNA from 1 species
UAGCCCCUUGAAUGUCUAAGGGGUCACGCCUGCCCAGUGGCUUGUGAAGCUAAACGGCCGCGGUAUCUUGACCGUGCAAAGGUAGCAUAAUCAUUUGUCUUUUAAAUGGAGACUUGUAUGAACGGCUAAACCUUUUUCAACUGUCUCCCCUCCCACCCUUUUAAAUUUCCCUCUGUGUGAAGAGGCGCAGAUAAGCCAGAAAGACGAGAAGACCCUGUCGAGCUUCAGCCACUAGGUGAACAAACCAUCUUUUGAACAUCACCAAAAGGCUUUGGUUGGGGCAACCACGGAGAAGAAAAAUCCUCCAGAAUUAAUAGAAGAAAACCAUUCGCUAUUUUACAACUAGAGAACCAGGAACUGGUAUUCGGAAAGAGUUACCGCAGGGAUAACAGCGUCAUCUUCUCUAAGAGUCCUUAUUGACGAGAAGGUUUGCGACCUCGAUGUUGGAUUGGGGCACCCUUAAGGUGCAGAAGCUUUAAACGGUUAGACUGUUCGUCUAUUAAAGCCCU